ensembl:lncRNA
CUCCAUCUUUCAAGUCGAAAGCUGUAUCACUUCGCAUCAAGACAGCGAGAGAAAUAAAUCUAACAAUUUCCUCAACCGCCGCCGACAUGUCAUCUACCAGCGAGAGCAGGUCUGUGCUCUCUGCGUUCCCCAAGGUCUGUGCUGUGUGAGUUCCCCCAGGUACACCUAUGAGCAGUACAAGGAGACAGCUGAUUGGCUGCUGGAGCAUACACAGCACAUGCCCAAUGUGGCCAUCAUCUGUGGUUCUGGACUGUGAGGGCUGGCAGACUUACUGGAGAAUAGUGUAGCCUUCCCUUAUAAAGACAUCCCUCACUUCCCUCAGAGCACAGGUACAGUAUCCACACAUAACAUUGAGGACUGCUUACCUCUGACACUGUGUUGUGAGUCUGUAGCUUAACAUCUUAUUCACUUCAAAGUACAUGACUACAUUGCAUAAUAAAGUUCUAAAGCCAUGUCAUCAACAUUGUAUUUAUUCCUCUGUUCCCCAUCAUGUCUUUGUGUAGGAUUGUUUAUGUUACCUGUAUUUUGAUAUUGUGGAUAUUGUUACGUGCAUUACUUUUUGUCUAUGUUCUGUGUUUUGGGCACAUUUUAUGUUAUUUUGUGCUGUCAUUUUGACCGGAA